AAGUAUUCUGUCCUUGGCGUCCUGUAGUUUUCAGUUUUAUUCAUGUCAUGGUUGUGGCUAACUAACCAAGAAUACGUUCACAGAGGUCUGUGCUGCAAGAGCGAUUUACUUGCAACUCUGAUUAUGAAUGUUGGUAGUUACCGAUGUGAAGGUAUUAAGGUGACUUAUCUUAUAUUUGAAAGGCUACUUGUGGGUUUCAUGUUGAAGAAUAGAAUAACUGGUAAUAUUUGUCAUGUUGAAGAAAUUUCAGUCUCAUGUUGGCCAAGAAUAACCGGUAGUGAUUAUGUUUGCAGCUUGUGAAUUGUCGUGUUCUCUUCUGUAUAUGUCCUUUCGUUCCAGGAUUUCAUUAUUUGCUGUUGUAGGACAAGGAGAAUUCUGAUUUUCUCACACACAAUGUCUUGUGUCCUGCUGGAAAGAAAUUUUCAUGGUUUAAAUUUUUUGUUGGGCAUGGUUUUUUUUUGUCUUUUAGCCAUAACUUUAGGUGUGCAUAUUUGCUCGAAUCUUCUUGGCAGGGGCAUUGCAAUGCCUAUUCUAAUGACAAGCGAUCUUUGGACUGAUAAUUGUGCUCAAGAGUAUGGCUAGUUCAGGAUGUUGACUACUUGGUGCAGCUUUCAUGUGUAAAUUUCGAAAAUCCAGUGACUCUUACAGGGAGGUACCAUUUGAAAGUCUGAGGAACUGUUCAGUCCAGUGUUCAAUGAAUCUCUUUUCUUGUCUUCUUCCGUCUUUUAUGCUCAAAUUCUGCAUCCAGCUCAUUAUGUGUUUAAUGAUCUGACCAAGCACUGAUGUGGUGCUUGUCUGAAAUGCAGCUUUUGUUUGUUUUCGUGGAGCAAGACAAUGAGGAAGUUGGAAAACCUGUUGCCAAUUAAUUUUGGUGUUACUGGACAAGAGACAAAAGGAAUUCCUCAUAUGUUCUUGCUUACAGUGGGAAUGAAGAUGCUAAGCAGUUUUUCCUCAGUGGUAAAAUUUCAGUGGACAGCAUUAAGAAUACAAGUUUUGAGAUCAGAACUUCCUUUCCGGAGAAAGCAGGAGAGGCGGAGAAGGAAUAUAAGUUUUGAGGUUCUUUUAUGGCGAAGGAAUAGGAGUAUGAGUUCCAGGUCAAGGAACAGAUCGACAUCUUCUUCUAGCAGGCGUGCAGGAACCGGAAGAACUGCUGGCAGGACGUAUGAGUUCCAGGUCAAGGACCAGAUCGGCAGCUUGUUCUAGCAGGAAGAAAGAUAAUGUUUUUCGCACAUUUGGUCAAAUACAGUAGGCUUCAUUGUGCAAAUAACAAGAGCUGAUCCCCACCAUCCAUUGUCAGUUUACUGCUGUACAAUUCAGUUUAGCAAUUGGGGAUUUUGUUUGUUUGCUCUGCCAGGGACGGCUGUCUUUCCUUCCUCCACUCCCUCUCGACUUUCCAGAAUACGGAAUUGACACUCCCUGUUUCAGCCUGAUGGAUUCCCGACGAUAAGCCUCUACCCAAAUAUGAUGUUUCACUUCUCAUUUAGCGACACGUCUGUUACUAUGUGUUGUCUUUUCAGUACUGCAAUCAUCUAUCUAUGCAUCUUAAGGACUGUGCCUAGAUAAGACAUGCAUGUUUACGGUUAGUGCACAGUUUCAGAUAAGAAAGAGUUCAAUGCACAAUUUAAAACUGCUAAUUGUCCACAUAUCAGCCCUGCAAGUAUGUGUAUAUGCUAUUGUAGAUGUUUAAACUUAAUCAUGACUAGUGUUUUUGUGGAUUAGUAGCUAAGCUCACAGCUCGAAUUCGGUACCAUUGUGCUUUAAUAACCUGGGCAACCCGGCCAUCUACUAAUUCUAUUUCUUUAUUUGAUUUUGCUAAGCUUUGCAGAUAACUUUUGAGGGCGUGGGGCGGACAGUGGUCCAGAUGUACAUAUUCAUCAAGAAGCUACCAUGUAUGUAAAUUGAUCAAAGAAAUAAAUAUAAGCUUUCUUUAAGCUUCAGAGCUUCAGUGCCACCCCAAAGAUGAACCCUGUUGCCGGGUUGCUGAGGGUUUCUAUAUUAUGGCAUUUCCUACACGGCUACACCCAGUGAUCCAUCUCAUAAUUACUGUAACUUUUGGGACACAACCCUGAAACAAUAUUUAAGUUAUUUGUUUUUUAGGAAGUACACACACUCCAUAGUUUAUGCAUGGCUUUGCAGUUGUGUUUUCUCGACUUACAUUUUAAGAUUUAAGCAAAUGGUUUCUAUUUAGUAUGUUUCUACUUUUGCUUCUCCACAAAUACAAUAUUUGGGGUUUCUGUCCUGAGAUCCUGUAGCACUAGCUUGCAUUGUAUCCAUAUUUGUACUGCAUCUUCCGUACUGGAUCUUACACUGCAUCAUU